GACGAACGCUGGCGGCGUGCUUAACACAUGCAAGUCGAACGAUGAAGCUGGAGCUUGCUCUGGUGGAUUAGUGGCGAACGGGUGAGUAACACGUGAGUAACCUGCCCUGAACUCUGGGAUAAGCGUUGGAAACGACGUCUAAUACCGGAUAGGACCUUGGAUCGCAUGAUCUGGGGUGGAAAGUUUUUCGGUUUGGGAUGGACUCGCGGCCUAUCGGCUUGUUGGUGAGGUAAUGGCUCACCAAGGCGUCGACGGGUAGCCGGCCUGAGAGGGUGACCGGCCACACUGGGACUGAGACACGGCCCAGACUCCUACGGGAGGCAGCAGUGGGGAAUACUGCACAGUGGGCGCAAGCCUGAUGCAGCAACGCCGCGUGCGGGAUGACGGCCUUCGGGUUGUAAACCGCUUUUAGUAGGGAAGAAGGGCUUCGGCUUGACGGUACCUGCAGAAAAAGGACCGGCUAACUACGUGCCAGCAGCCGCCGUAACAC
rnacentral:rRNA from 1 species